GUCCGAUCCCCAACCUCCCCCCAUCCCGUCGCCGUUGCUGCCUACCUUGCCUCCUACCGGUGCGCCACCGCUCCCGCCUAUUUCCGGCGCGCCAUCAUCCCCGCCUCCUACCGGCGCGCCGCCGGACCCUCCUUCUUCCCUGGAGCGCCGCCACCCCGCUGCCCCCGCCAUCUUCCCGAGCGCGCCGCUGUUGCCGUCUACCCCGGAGCGCCACCGCCCCGCCACCCCCGCCCAUGGGACCAGUGGUCCCAUCACCGGUCCACCCCCACCCAGAUCUGCCGGAGGUGCACUAGAUCCUUCCUCACGGCCGGUUCCCACGACUCGGUCGCCGCCCCAACCGCUGUAGCAGCCGAGCACCUCCACUAGGUGCCCCGGCGGUUCGGACCCCCACCUGGCUCCUCCCUCGAACCCAGCGAGCCUCCGCCCCGGCCUACUUCCCGCGCGAGGUCGCCUCCGCCUCCUCCUGGUGCACCGCCGCCUCCACCAUCUUCCGACACAAGGCCGUCCCCUCCUUCAGGGUGAGGUGGAUUUGCCUGUAAUGAAAUCCAAAGACAUGGCUCAAUUUUUUUUCUUUGAAUGGCUUCUACCAAAGAAGCAUGUCAACACACACCCAUGGAUGGAUGGGGAUGGGGCGACGACGGCGGCUGUGGCGGCCUUCUCUCGGUGCUUGCUGAUGUGGUGGAUAUCGAUGUCGGUGACGGGUUGCAGCACGUAGAUGUCAAAGGCUGCGGGUGUAACGGAGGAGCACCAUGGCGGGUGUGCAGGCCAUGGCUCGCUAUGGAAGGCCCUUCCCUUCCCUCUCUCUGUUCGGGCCAUGCUCAGGCACGACGACCUAUGGAAGGAAGGGGACGCCAACGACCUAUGGAAGGGAGGGAAGGGGAGGCCGGUGAAUUGGGGUAGGGGAUGCGGGUGACCUGGGGAAGGGCGGUCGGGGGCUGUUUAGCUCGCCGUCGCUGUCGGCAGCCGGCGGACACCACCCGUCGCUUGGAGGACGACAGUAAUGGAGUAAGAGGGGGCGUAUCGGGAAGGAGUUUUGGGCGAUGGGAGGAGGGGAACAGCAGCCGCGCUAGGCAGCAAGCCUCGCCGUGCCGCUUGGUGGCCGAGAUGUGGCCGCCCCAUGCUCUGAUCCGAUGGGCCUCCUCUGCUUGAUGGUUGCACUUGUUGAGUUUGGUACGGUUUCCUAUUGUUAGCUGUGUCGAGCCUUGGGUCUUGUCUCUUCUUUGCAUUGAGGUUAGUCCACUCCUAUGUGCUUGCCUAUAUAAUGCUCGGUGAAAUGUGUGUGUGUUGAUGCUUGUUCUACGGUUCAACCUACUUCUCCUAUCACUGUUGCUUCUUCUUCUCGUCCGUCCUGCUGCUUACCCAAUGUGCUUCUGCUUGCUGCCUGAGGUUGUACGAUCUCUUCUGUCGCUGUGUCGUUCGACUCAUCAAGUUCAUUACAACACCAAUUAUGGAUAUGGAUCCAUCUUGCUGCACUGGAUGUAAUAAGAAUUGCAUGUGAUAAGCAGGCGCCUCCUGUAGGUAUGAAUUUUUGCUAAUAUCAUUGAAUUUCUCCUGAGAUCUCUCUAGACCUUUCCAAAUGUAUUUUAGUUCAGUGUUUGUAUUAACUAGCAGAAGAAGGGAUGCUAAUGGAAAGAAUUUGAGAUGCAUAAACAUGAAAGCACUAAAAGAUUUGCUCGAAGCAAAGAUGGCUAGCCGAGAUACAUAUGGCAAGAAUCUUCGGAGAUUGACAUCUUUUCAUCUUCUAUUGAGAUAUACUUGCCCAUGGGUCACAACUCAUGAAGUUACUUCCUUUUGGUUUUGAUUUUGAAUUAUAUGUGUCAUAGGUCUCAACUGAUGAAGUUACUUCCUUUUGGUGAAGGUCUGAAUGUCAUCACGAUCUUGGCUGAGAGGCAGACAUUUUGGAAGUCUGUUAUUGCCGUUAUCUUCUUGGGAGUACUUGAGAAGGCGUGGCUGGGAAUGUGGGGACACGCCAUGGCAGAGGCGCAUGUUCGGCAGGAGGAGUCAGGGAGGCAUGAAGGUGGACAUGUGGAUGUUAUCGUGGCAUUGACACAUUUCUCUCCACCGAUGCUAUAUACCAGGUGGAAGUCACAUGGUGGAGCCUUUGACAGGAAAAUGUUUGUCUUGUCGGUCCAUCUAUAUGAGAACCUUCUAAGUGGAAGUCACAUGGUGGAGUCUCAGUAUGUCAAGUACAGUUUGAUUAAGUACAGUUUGAUUAGUAUGACAAGUCAUGUCAGCGGGAUGAAUAUUUACGAGGUUGAUUAUCUCCCAGGAAGACAACUAGAAAGGUCAUCAUUUGUAUAUUUCCUCUUCGGAGGGUGAUCUCGUCGCCCACGGAGAAGCAAUCCAAGGAGAAGAUAGUAGGUUCUGCGCCCAACCUCUGCUCCCUAUCAAAGGAGGGGAAGUGGUUGCGAGCAUGCCAUCAGCGUUGGGUCGAUGGUGUUGUGCCUCGGCAGCUGGGAUCAUGCAAGGCAGAUGGGAAGCAACAGUGCCGCCUCUCCCCCCGAGCUCCAAAUACAUGAUAGCAGCAUCGAGGAGGAGAAAAACUGCAUUCAGAGGUUACGGAAUGGCAAUGGGUGGGUUACCUCCCAGGAGCAGAUGACUGGCAUGGUUAGUGCUCUAGGCCAUGAAUCUCAUGGAUCCCAUGAUACAGUAUUUUUAUGGUGCAUGUAUCUGGUCCAAAUCCGACGGAGACAAGCAAAAUCGUGCUGCUUCUUCUUCUUUCGAUUCUACUAUGGGUACAAGCAACUUCUAUUUCGCUCGUCACCGGAAACCACCGCCCAGAUCCAUCUCUUCUCAACCAUGCCGACGUGGUGGUCAGGGGCGCUUACAACUUGUGAGGGCCUGCAUUCUCGCUGUUGAUCCGUGAUGGCAUGUCCUCCCCGCGCCCUAGCCGCGUUUUAGCUGAUGGUUUGGGUCUGCCGGUGGAGGGAGAGGGGGCGACCUCUGUCGCUCCUUCUCUCUAGCCUCUUCAUCUUGAUGAAGCUGUAGGAGUAGAGGGGCAUGCGCGUGAUGGAUCUGCUCCAAGCACCUCAAGCCACGCAUCUUCAAGGGAUUAAACGAUUGAUGAAAAGGCUUGUCAUAGAAGAGAGAUGGUGAGAGAGAACAUAAUGGAGUGGAAUUUCAUGACAAGCUUCCACAAAAUUCAAAGAAUCUACGGGGAUAUGAGACAAGAGAGUGAAUUCUUUUCACUUGUAUCAUCUUGGCCCUGUAUUAAAAAAGAGAGUCUGGGACUAUUAUAGGGGUCUUAUUUUGAGAAAUAUUAUAAGGGACUAUGGGACGGUGCGAUCAGUUGCUACCAUGGUUAUCAAUGUAUUCGUGAGUAAUUGCAGGUUUUCUUUGCCACAAAGGUGCACACAUAUUGUAGUAAGCCACAUGGUUUUGUAGCUUCAGGCAUGAGACUAAAACCGUUCUCUAUUUUUUCCUUAAUUGUAGUCAGUGGGUACCACAUAUUUCUUUUGAUAGAUUGUGACAUGUUUCUACUUUUUACACCACAA